rnacentral:rRNA from 1 species
AGUGAACGCUGGCGGUAGGCCUAACACAUGCAAGUCGAACGGCAGCACAGUAAGAGCUUGCUCUUACGGGUGGCGAGUGGCGGACGGGUGAGGAAUACAUCGGAAUCUACUUUUUCGUGGGGGAUAACGUAGGGAAACUUACGCUAAUACCGCAUACGACCUACGGGUGAAAGCAGGGGAUCUUCGGACCUUGCGCGAUUGAAUGAGCCGAUGUCGGAUUAGCUAGUUGGCGGGGUAAAGGCCCACCAAGGCGACGAUCCGUAGCUGGUCUGAGAGGAUGAUCAGCCACACUGGAGCUGAGACACGGUCCAGACUCCUACGGGAGGCAGCAGUGGGGAAUAUUGGACAAUGGGCGCAAGCCUGAUCCAGCCAUACCGCGUGGGUGAAGAAGGCCUUCGGGUUGUAAAGCCCUUUUGUUGGGAAAGAAAAGCAGCAGGUUAAUACCCCGCUGUUCUGACGGUACCCAAAGAACAAGCACCGGCUAACUUCGUG